UUAAGUAUGAAAAGGGCUUAUGGUGGAUGCCUAGGCACCAUCAGGCGAUGAAGGACGCGGCAAGCUGCGAAAAUUCUCGGGGAGGCGCAAACAGCCAUCGAUCCGGGAGUGUCCGAAUGGGGAAACCC
rnacentral:rRNA from 1 species